AGUUGCUAGUUACAGUGCCCUGGCUUAUCGUGUGUUAGACUCUGAGUUAAACAUCAACUCCUUGAAUCAUUACAAGCUCCUUAUCAGGUGGGUAUCAACCUCAAUUUACAGAUGAAGAAGCCAAGACUUGGGCUGCUUGCAUUACAUUAACCGAGGUUUACCCGCAGCGAGGCUGCCUCCAAAGCAUCCGGAGUUUGCAACCAUCACUGUCCACCCCGCGAGCUGCAAUAGUGCGAGAACUACAAUUCCCGUGGGGCUGUGCGGGAGCAUCGCGAGAGUUACCUUAACUGUGGCGGCGGGAAGGCGGACCCUGCAGCUGGCUGGGCGGUUAGGAGGGUCCGGGGCCGAGACGAUGGCUGACGACAACCCUGACAGCGACUCCACGCCGCGCACGCUGCUGCGACGCGUGCUGGAUACAGCGGACCCGCGCACCCCGCGGCGACCCCGGAGUGCUCGGGCUGGAGCCCGGAGAGCCCUGCUUGAAACGGCUUCCUCCAGGAGGUUGAGUGGCCAAACAAGGACGAUAGCCAGAGGGCGUUCCCAUGGAGCCAGGGUAAGUACCCAGCCCACUGACCCCAAAGGGCCCUGGCUGCCUCGGGGAGGGGGGUUGAGGUCU
rnacentral:sRNA from 1 species